rnacentral:misc_RNA from 1 species
AAGUCGUAACAAGGUAACCGUAGGUGAACCUGCGGUUGGAUCAUUAAAGAGAAAAGUCCGGGGGAGCGGGAGAAGGAAACUUCUCUCCACUCGGAACACUCAACCUUUAUGUGAACUGUACUGUCCCUGGCGGCCGGGCAAAGGGGCCACAGUGUCUCUCUUGCCUGUCAGCUUGUGCCCCCGCUGGGGUGUGAGCCGUGGACAAACCGCCAACUGUCUAAACAUUGUUGCAUUUUUCUUGUCUGACGCUUUCUUUUCUACGAGAAUGAGAGAAACACACAUACAUACAACUUUUGGCAACGGAUCUCUUGGCUCUC